UGUGCAAUGUUCUUUACUCAGGUUAGCAAAGUCCACUAGAAAUACAGGCAUCGUGAUGAAGAGCAAAGUAGCAUGGGGAUGACAGAAGUCCCAGGCCCCACUCUCCGGGAACAGAAUGCUCCAUAGCCCCCUAAGUAUCCAUUCAUUUAUUUUAAUGUAUUUGCAGACCCAAAUGCUUGCAAGAUGAAUUAAGGACCUCUUUUGAAUUAAUCUGAUAUUUUACCCAUCUGAACUCUUCACAGUAGUGAUGGCUAGAAUUGUUAUUGUUAACCCUAGGAUCCUUCAAAAUCCCAAUGAUUCCCCCAAAAUAAUCAUGUGUGAUUAGGUUAUAGCUGAUAGCUUCAGCACUGAGUAUGCCAUCAUGUUCUCAUUUACUUAUUCACUCAAAUAUUCAAUCAAUGGACCUUACAGCUUGUUUAGCACAUGCAGAUCAAAGAAGGCAAAAAUGAGGGGACAAGAUGGAAUGUCUGAGCAAAACUCUAGAAAAAGCAAUGGUUUAAAGUACCUUGUGCCACCACCAUUUUGUCUGAAAAUAUUACAAAUUCUCAGAACCUCAGUAACACGUUCAUAUGCAAAUACAGAGAACGCACCCAAAUGUCAAAUGUAGUUUUGUUUUUCCACGGCAACAUUAGCCUGUAUAACUAGAUGUUUGCAUGACUUGUUGACACCAACAACGAAUUGCCAAGCUUCUCUGGAAGCAGGGAUACUGUCCCUGGCUGUGCUGCCGCUGGUGUGUCCAGUCUCUGGCACUGGAUAUACAGGCAGUGACGUAAUUGGUGCCAUCUUGAUAUCCUUCACUCCACUUCCAUAAUCUGAUAGCUUAUCAUCUGAUCAUCUCAAUACUUCUCCAAAAUUCUAUAGCUGUGUGAUGGGUAAUGAAUGAAAAAAGAGAAGAGUCCUUGGUUUAUGUCUGCAGCAACUUGAGUCUUUUCUCUAGCAGGGGUUGCUAGUGCAGAUUUAAAUUAUGCAUGGGUUGGCCAAUGGCCCAGAGAAAUAGACCUUAUGGAUAAUCUAAAUAAUGAACAUCUUCAAAUCAAUUGCUAUCUCUAACCCCUGUCCAUGGAAUAGGUUAAGAAUUUGAUUGUGUGUUAUCAGUACUCUAUAUAGAUUAAAAAAGAUAGCUGAGGGUAGCAGAAGGCAAGUUCCAACAUUUCUUUUUUUUCUAAAUUAAUUUUAUUUUAAGUAGGCUCCACAUGCAAAGUGGAACUUCAACUCACAACCUGACCCUGAGAUCAAGAGUCGCAUGCAAUACUGACUGAGCCAGCCAGGCGCUCCCACUGUCCCCUUCUCCCCACAACAUUUCUGUCAUAUUAUCAAGUUCCUUUUAAAUAGACCUAUUUUUAAAUCAGUCAGUAAUGAAAACUGAAUUACUAAGCCACUCACCACAAGAUUCCAGUAUUCACCCCCCUCACCAAUCCAGGGUCUGAUGCUUUUCUUCCUCCUUACUUGACUCAAAGAUCUUUAUUCACUUGCUGAUUUACUCAAAAGGCCUAUUUCAUCUUCAUUUCUAGAGCCUAAGAUUUUAAUUUUCAGUAAUCUAUUCAUUUAAAACAUUCUCUCAAGCAUAAAAUGAUUGCAACAGAUUUUCAUUACAAUGACAAUCCAUUCUCAGAUUCAAUCUAUCAUAGUUAUCUUAGUGUUCAUAGAAACUUCACAGGUUGUCUUUUUUUUUUUUUUUUUAGGAUUUAUUUAUUUGAGAGGGGGAAAGAAUGAGUGGGAGGGGCAGAGGGAGAGGGAGAGAGAAUCUCAAGCAGACUCCCCACUGAGGAUGGAACUUGAUGUAGGUCUCAAAUCCAGGACUCUGGGAUCAUGACCUGAGCUGAAACCGAGGAUGCUUAACUAACUGUACCACCCAGGUGCCCCUUGAUGGGUUGUCUUUAAGACAGUAUCAAAAUUAUGCAAGAGUGAAAAUGUUCCCUAUACAAGCAGACAACCUUUUAAAUUGAAAUAUAUGAAAAAAGGAAGCGAACCACAAUUUGGGAUUUCUGUUUAUUUUUCAAGUUUUACAGUAUUAAAAAAUGUAACAUAUAAAAUGUUUUACAGUUAAUUGGGAUGGAGGAUCCAAAAGGGAACCAAAUAACUUGGCUGCCAGGUACACCAUGUCAGUAGUAGAUGCUAACAUUAUUAAUGAUGGAUGUCACAAUGAAGAGAUUUCAUUACAUACACCUCAUGAACAUAGGUAAACUUACUUUCGCAGAUGGUUGCUAGUAGAGUCAUUCAUUUAGAUGUUUGAAAUGCCUCAACAGAGCCUGCCACCUGUUUACGCAGGACAUCAUAUUUAGACUUUCUCCUACAGAUACAGUGAUCGGAGUAGAGACAUUAGCAAA
rnacentral:lncRNA from 1 species